rnacentral:rRNA from 1 species
GUGCCAGCAGCCGCGGUAAUACGGAGGGUGCAAGCGUUAUCCGGAUUUACUGGGUUUAAAGGGUGCGUAGGCGGGUUUCCAAGUCAGUGGUGAAAGCUCCGAGCUUAACUCGGAAAUUGCCAUUGAUACUGGAAGUCUUGAAUUCAGUUGAGGUCGGCGGAAUGUGUCGUGUAGUAGUGAAAUACUUAGAUAUGACACAGAACACCAAUUGCGAAGGCAGCUGGCUAACCUGACAUUGACGCUGAGGCACGAAAGCGUGGGGAUCAAACAGGAUUAGAUACCCUGGUAGUCC